rnacentral:rRNA from 1 species
CACGUAGUUAGCCGGUCCUUAUUCACCACCUACCGUCAACCCCAGGAAAACCCAAGGCCUGCGUGAGUGGUAAAAGAGGUUUACAACCCGAAGGCCUUCAUCCCCCACGCGGCGUCGCUGCGUCAGGCUUCCGCCCAUUGCGCAAUAUUCCCCACUGCUGCCUCCCGCAGGAGUCUGGGCCGUGUCUCAGUCCCAGUGUGGCCGGUCGCCCUCUCAGGCCGGCUACCCGUCAUCGCCUUGGUAGGCCGUCACCCCACCAACAAGCUGAUAGGCCGCGAGCCCAUCCCCGACCGGAAGGAAAACCAACCUUUCCACCCCCACCCAUGCGAGCAGGAGUCAUAUCCGGUAUUAGACCCGGUUUCCCGGGCUUAUCCCAGAGUCAGGGGCAGGUUACUCACGUGUUACUCACCCGUUCGCCGCUCGUGUACCCCAAAGGGCCUUACCGCUCGACUUGCAUGUGUUAAGCACGCCGCCAGCGUGUCUCGUGCACGGAGUCAACUAC